rnacentral:SRP_RNA from 1 species
GCUAGGUGUGGUGGCGUGCACCUGUAGUCCCAGCUACUCAGGAGGCUGAGGCAGGAGAAUCGCUUGAACCUGGGAGGCGGAGGUUGCAGUGAGCUAAGAUCGCACCACUGCAAUCCAGCCUGGGCGACAGAGCGAGAUUCUGUCUCAA